rnacentral:rRNA from 1 species
CUUGGUCAUUUAGAGGAAGUAAAAGUNGUAACAAGGUNUCCGUUGGUGAACCAGCGGAGGGAUCAUUAUAGAGUGAUUACCACUCCCAAACCCAUGUGAACGUACCUUUUGUUGCCUCGGCAGGUCGCGGUUACCCUGUAAGACCCUACCCUGUAAGACCCUACCCUGUAAGACCCUACCCUGUAGGACCUUACCCGGUAGGACCUUACCCGGAAGGACCUUACCCGGUACUCGCGGCGUAAGCCUGCCGGUGGCCUAUGAAAUUCUGUUACUAUGUAUGUGUUAUUCUGAAUAGUGGGAAAAAAAAAAUAAGUUAAAACUUUCAACAACGGAUCUCUUGGUUCUGGCAUCGAUGAAGAACGCAGCGAAAUGCGAUAAGUAAUGUGAAUUGCAGAAUUCAGUGAAUCAUCGAAUCUUUGAACGCACAUUGCGCCCAUUAGUAUUCUAGUGGGCAUGCCUGUUCGAGCGUCAUUUCAACCCCUUAAGCCUUUGUUGCUUAGUGUUGGGAGCCUACUGUGGUAGCUCCUUAAAGUGAGUGGCGGAGUCGGUUCACACUCUAGGCGUAGUAGAUUCUAUCUCGUCUAUAGAUGGGCCGGUCCCCUGCCGUAAAACCCCCUAAUUGUAAAAGGUGACCUCGAUCAGGUAGGAAUACCCGCUGAACUUAAGCAUAUCAAUAAGCGGAGGA